rnacentral:lncRNA from 1 species
ACCUUUGGGAGAAAAUAGCACAAGGAGUUUAUUGCAGUCAAUAUACCCGCUGUUUCCGGCUUGACAUGAAGUUAUGUAUUUGGAUCAUAGGCUAGGACUUCCCCUUUGGCAAUUUGCAAACAGUUGUAACUCAUAUUUGUAACACAUAAACGUAUGGACGUGUAUGUAUUAUUCUUCAAAUUUGUGCAUUCCUAUAUGCUUGAAUUUUAGCAGUAAACAUGAUGUUCAUUGUGGGUAAACACGCCUGAGCUGGCUUUGUAGAUAUAGUAUGAACAAGAUUUGUGUAUUGG